GUCCUGUUGUUGGUUUGUCUAUGUACUGGAAAGCCGAUGGUUGAAGCACGUGUGCAUCACUUAAAAGUGUCCCCUGGAAACACUUCUGUUGUGGUGUGGGCUAUUUGCAUGUGUUGUCUUAUUGUUGCGUGCUGUGGUUUAUUUGUAUGUGUUGUCUUUGUGAUGGUUAGGGUCGGCUGGCUGUGAGUUUUCUGUUUUGUUUACUAUUCUCUAGUUUGUUUCUCGGUUGGUUUUCUCCUCUCCUGUGUUUUCCUGUUUGCCUGCCUCUCUGCCUACUCUGCUCUCCCCCUCCCACCGCUGCUGCCAGCUGAUUGAGCGCACCUGGUUACCAUCCCAUUAUCACCGCCUCCCGCUGCACACACCUGCCUCCCAUCUACAAUCAAGACCAGUAUUUCUACCCCGGCUCAACAGACCAUCUCCGCUUGAUCGUUGCUCCAGUCACGCUGGUGAAACACAAAGCUACAACUCUUCAGCUGGCUCCACCACACGGACCCCCUCCCUCGGCACCCUGCUCCAGCCUCUCCUCGCUCCCUCGGCUCCUCGGCUACGGCUUCCCCGCGCUCCCCUGAGUCCCCAGCCCCAGUGUCUCUCCCGCGGCUCCCCGGUCACAGCUCCCCUGGAUAUCUCCACCCUCCAGUUCCUCUAGCUUCCCCGCAGCUGCCCCCCCAUUCCCGGCGUCUGCCUACCCACUUCCCCUUUCCUUUCCCCUUAUCAUUAAUAAACCUUUUGUCGUGA